rnacentral:lncRNA from 1 species
UUAUACAUGUAAUUAUUAAUUAUUUUCUCUUUCUUCUUCUCCUUCACACACUUUCCCAUUAAUUCCUAUCACAAUUUUGCUUAUUUCUAUUUUCACCUUUUUCUUCACUCUUUUUAAUUUCUUUUCAUCUCCAAGGUCUAUCACUAAUUUUCAAUUAUCCAGUCAAGGUAAUUUCCUUUCAUUUGCUUCAUUCAUGACUAUACAAUGAUUGUUUUUUAUAUCAGCUACUGUUAUAGCAGCUUGCUUUGUAAGAUGGUCAAGAUAAUAAGAUCUGCAGCAAUGGUUUCCUCUAGUGAUUAUCAACAGUUUUAGAUUUUAAGACAGGAUGAUCAGCAGACAUAAUCUACUAUAGAUACAGAUUAAUACGAAAAGAGCUAUGCUUUGUAAGAUAGUCAAGGUAAUAAGAUCUGAAGCAAUGAUUUCCUCUACUGAUUUUCAAUUUUAAGACAGGAUGAUCAGCAGAUAUAGUCUACUAUAGAUACAAUUUAAUACGAAAAGAGCUACCCAGAAGCAAUAUAAUGUUGAAAUCUCAUGCUGUUGAACAUUUUACCUCUUCAUAUUCUGUAAUGAACUCUUGCACACUUGAAUCUAGCAUGUUGUAUAGUUUGAGGGAUUGAUUCUGGAUAUACAAUGGUGACCAGAAUUUCAUCAUGUUUCUGUCUGCCACCCAUCCAUAGCUCCAUCUAAUAGACGCCAUUGCUUGAAACUUGCAUUCAUGAUUUCCUUUUCAUGCUUACACCGACAUAUCAAUACUUCAUAAAAUAUCCAAUUCAUUCACAGAUUUUCAUUCUCUGCUACUGUUAUAUAUGAUUGCAUUACAGGGACAAAGCAAUGGAGUACGUAGAGCCUGUUGUCGGCAUUGCAAAUUGUCUCGGAACUCCUGCUUGUAAGUAUUUUAAAAAAAUACUUAUUGCAUUGAUUGUUGAUUGCAAAUUGUCUCGGAACUCCUGUUUGUUAUAUAUGUUUAAUUCAUAGAUGAUAUGGGUACAAGACAUUAUAAUGAUGCAAUAGUUUAAAAGAAAGUAAAUAGGAGGAGUAAAAUUGUGGAGGGAAAAUAUUUAAAAAAAAAUUGAAGGGGGGAGGGUUUGGGGUAGAUGAGAGGUGGGAUGGGAAGGGAAUAAAAGUUUUAGGGGAAAAGUGGGAGGGAGUAAAAAUUUUGGGAGAAAAUAAAAGGUUUUGAGGGUUUUGGGGAGUAAAAUUUUGAGAAAAAGUAAAUGGGAGAGUAAAAUUUUGGUGGGAAAUGGAUUUUGGGUAGAUUGGGGGGUUGGGAGGGGAGUAAAAGUUUUGGGGGGAAAGUAGGAAGGAGUAAAAGUUUUGAGGGAAAAGUAAAAAGGUUUGGGAGUUGGGGUGAAAAUGUAAAAUAUUAUAGUUUGAUAUUCGAAUUAUUCGAAUUAUUAGAGUUAUUCGAAUUCGAAAACUCAACUCGAUUCGAACUCGAAAUUUGAAAAAAAAAUCGAGUUGAUUCGAAUAACUCGAUUAACUAGAAUAACUCGAUUCGUUUAACUCGAAAUCCGAAUUUUUUUUAAAUUUUUUCGAGUAGAAUCGAGUUUUGCUCACCCCUAAUAUAUAUCCUGAACUUGAGUUGUCAUAUUCUAAUAUUUCUUUGCUCAGUAUUUACUUGAUUGUAUACAUUAGAUUUGCACCCGAAGUAAUAGUUUUAGAAUACUUGCAGUAAUAGUUUGUCUUUCAACUUCAUCAACUAAUCUUUUAAAGUUAUGUGUAUCGAUUGCGGUCGUAAAUCAACUAAAAAUCUAAUUAAGGUAAAUGUACUUAUCAAUUAAUAUUAUAGUUACGAUGAGCAAAGAUAUCGUUCCCACGAGGGCUAAAAGUGCUAGUUAUUAUUGUCUUUCUUUUAUUUAACCGACAAAUUGGAGUGAUUGAUUAAAACUAAAAUUAACUAAAUUAAUUAACUAAAGAACAUGACAAAGAACAAAUUAGAAAAAUAAACGAUUAACAACCAAAAAAAGUGAGACAAUACCUAGGAAAGAACCCACCUAGACUUCAUCUGUCAUUAUCAAUCUAAAUCACGCAAUUUCUUCACUUACUAUCUUGAUCCGUAGAAAUCCCUAAAUUAUGCUAACAUCUCUCUUCAAGACUAACAACAACUAACUCUAGAUUGAUUAAUUGAAUUUUCUUUCUAAUUAAAACCCCUAUUAUCGUAUUAACUUGAUUUAUGGAUCAUUCUAUUAGAUUUGACUCUAAUCCAGUAGAUUUAUGUUGUCCUAUUUUUAGGAUUGCAUGCAACUCCACUCAAUUACGCUAAAUCUACUCUUAAACAGGGUCUAUUCCUCCUCUGAUUUAAGCACAUAAUACAUGAAUCAAUAGUCUAAAAACAUUAUGAAUUAAGCACACAUAAUUGAGAACAAAAUCUAAGUAUUUAUUGCAUAAAAAUUGAAAUCAAAUAAUAUAAUCCAUCCUAAGGUUUAUCUCCCUAGGUAUUUGGAAAAUUAGUACAUAUAGUAAAUAAAAACAUCCCAUAAAUAGCAUAAUUACAAGAUAUAAAGAAACUCAUAAUAAACUUCAAAAAAAUCAAAAGGACAACUUCAAUCUUGAUGGAAAUAUACUUCAAAGUCGGCUUUAAUAGUAUUUUUCGAGUUAUUUUCUUCAAUAUUAUAUGACAACUCACUCUGCUCCUCUUAUCUUUGUCAUAUAUAUAUUAGAAUGCUCGAAAAAUCUAAAAAUUACAAUUUUCUGCAUGUUUAGAGUGCAAUUUGCGAUUUCCACACGAUUUGGCACAUGAUCGUGUGACAGCCUGUGUGGCUCACUCAACUGUGUGUCCAGACCGUGUGCAAUGGCCCAACCCUUGUGGCUCCUGAAACUUGCUCCAGUUUUUCGAUUUUCGCUCCUUUUUGCUUCUAAAUUCUCUCUUAAGUAUAGAAACAUGAAUUCAAAGUAUUAGAAGCAUAAAAUUUACCAUUAACACAUUUUCUCUGUAUAUUUAGCAUAUAUUCAAACUUCGAGGCUCUACUUUGGAGUUUAGGUUCAAAAAUAUGAACCCAUGUUUUCAAAGGUCUAAUUUUUCCAUGAACUGCUGGAAAUGAAAAGAAAAAACAAAUAUUUAAAAAAAUGAAAAAGAAAAAUGAAAAUAUAGUUUAAUGAGACUUACAUAAAUCCCGAGAUUGAGAAAAUGAUUGUCUAAAGAGAAGCAGAAAUUUGGCCGUCCAAGCCAUCUUAUUCAGUUCACCGAUGCAAGUUUCUCCGCUUAGCCGCCGCUGCUCUGAAAAUGAUGAAGGACUAAUUAGUUUAACAACAGUACCAGUACGAUGUCGUAAGGACGUAUCCUACGUGGCAGUCGUGUCAUCUAGCUAAGUCAAACUACGACGCUACAGUUGGACUUCGAUUUCAGUUGGGUUUGGUUUCUUAGCUGGAGUUCUAUUUAAACUUGGGUUUUGUUUUUGGUUAAAUUACCUUAUUAGUUACUAAAUUAUAGGUUGCUUUUGUUUUGUUCACUUAACUAAAAAAAAUUACAAUUUGGUUACUGAAGUAUUCGAAUAUUUUCAUUUAAGUCACUAAAACAAGAUCUUUUUAAAUAAGAAAUAAAUAUUUUUUAUAGAGAAAUUUUAUAUAUAUAAAAAAUGAAAUACUUUAAUUUAAAAGGACAUUUUGUUUAAUCACUUUAAUAGCUUUUGGAGUGAUGAAAAGUCUAAUUUCACUUUGCACCUAAAAUGAUUUUUUUGGUAAUUUUCUUACAGAGCUGGGACUCAAUUGAUGGUUUACGCCAACUCAGUAAAAGGCUUUAACACAGUAUAGAAAAAAAAAGUUUUUAACUAAAAUUUUUAAAAGAAUUUAGGGUAAACUACACCAAUCAUCCAACUAUAAUAUAGAGAAAUUUUGUAGGGUUUAAAAAUAAUUAUCCCUAAUUUUCUCACUUUAUUUAUUUUUAAAAUUUUUAUUUUACUUUUAUUUAUUUUUUAAUUUUAUAAUGUUCUAAAAUUUUAAAAAUAAUUUCAACUUUUUAUCAUUUUAUAUAUUAUCAAAAUGAAAUUCACCGAAAGUAUACAAAUUUAGGACUAAAAUUUUUAUUAAAUCAUUUAAAAAGUUCCACUUAACAGUUGAGUGACAAAAAAAUAAUAAUUUCAAAAAAAAUUAGUGGUGAAAUUGUAACUUUUUUUAAUUGAGUGAUUAAAACAAAAAAUAGCAAUAGUUUAGUGACUAAUAAUGUAACUUUUUUUGGUACAAUGAUAAUUCGAAAUUUGGCUAUUCUUAAAAAGGGUGAACAUCGGAUCAUAUUUAUUCACAUAUUACAAACAUCCAUAAGUAAGCAAUUCUCCCGAAUUAAAAUCAAAUUUUAAUAUUAACAACUUCAACAACUCAUAAAUAGGAAGAUAAUAUGUUUCGGUACACUUGAAACCACAUCCUUCUACAUUAACAACAAUUACUAUGACAAUGAAACUAAGACUCAAUUCACAAUGAAUAUAUAUUUUUGUUAUACCUAAUUAAAGUCAUUUACCAGUAUAUUAAACAUUCUUAUACCCUAGUUUCCCAUACUUUCCCAUUAUUGUCGUGAUGAUGAUGAUGAUGUUACAAUUGAGCACCAAGAUCACUGUAAUACUUGUUUUAAUUGGUAUAAUAAUAAUUUUAAUCUUUUUUUUUAUAUUUUAUAAUUAUAAUUUUAUACGAUACCGUAAAUUAAAUUGAUAAUAAAAAUAAUUAUAAUGCUAUCUGUAAUGGAAGACAGCAAAGAAAAAGGCUAAAAGAAAACGUAAUAAAAAUAGGAUUCCUUGCUAAUAAUUCUGCCUCUGUGGAUCCUACCAGAGACUUCAUAAAUUCCCUGUUUUUAUCUUCACUUUCUUCUUACUUCUUCUUCACUGCUUUUAAUUUGUUUCGAUGUCCAAGGUCUAUCACAAAUUUUCAAGCAUCCAGUCAACGUAAUUUUCUUUCAUUUGCUUAAUUCAUCACUUGCUUUUCUUUGCUUUUGAUUAUCUGCUACUGUUAUAGCAGCUAGCUUUGUAAGAUUGUCAAGGAACUCAACUUCACUGCUUCCUUUUCAGUUCUAAUCUCUCUACACUUUUCAGCCACUAAGUCAGGUAAUAAGAUCUGAAGCAAUGAUUUCCUCUACUAAUUAUCAACAAUUUUAGAUUUUAACAGUGGAUGACCAGCAGACAUAAUCUACUAUAGAUAGAAAUUAAUACAAAACAGCUACCCAGAAGCAAUAUAAUGUUGAAAUCUCAAACUGUCAACAUUUUAACUCUUAAUAUUCUGUAAUGAACUCUUGCACACUUGAAUCUAGCAUUUUAUAUACAUCGAGAGCUUGAUUCUGGUGAUCAGAAUUUCAUCAUGUUUUUGUCUGCCACCCAUCCAUAGCUCCAUCUAAUGGACGCCAUUGCUUGAAACUUGCAUUCAUGUUUUCCUUUUCAUGCUUACACUGACAUAUCAAUACUUCAUACAAUAUCCAAUUCAUUCACAGAUUUUCAUUCUCUGCUACUGUUUUAUGAAGAGAAAGAUAAAAGUGGGGGUGGGAAAGAAGGAGGGGGGAGGAUAGUGCAAAAGAGAGGAGAAAAGGAAUGAUGGAAGGAAGAGGUUAAGAGCAUAAACUGCCCCCAGUUUUUAAACCCCUUUGGAAGGAUGAAAGGUAUGAACCAUUAUAGUUUAGAGAAAGAUGAAAGGGUUGGUGGGAAAGGAGGAGGGGGGAGGAUAGUGCAAAAGAGAGGAGAAAAGGAAUGAUGGAAGGAAGAGGUUAAGAGGCUCCACGUUGUAAACAUUAACCCUCUCUUACAAUUCCUUCUAUUCUCUUUUUAUAAUGUAAAAGCUGAAGAGGUAAAAAAAUAAAUAAAUUUGCUUCAUAUUUUUUCUAUGUUUGUUUUGAAAGAAUGAGUGUUGAAUAUAGAUAAUAUAGAGAAAUUUUGUAGGGUUUAAAAAUAAUUAUCCCUAAUUUUCUCACUUCUUUUUAUUUUUUUAAUUUUAUAAUGUUUUAAAAUUUUAAAAAUUUUCGACGGUGGCCA